rnacentral:rRNA from 1 species
CCAAGACUAUGAUGUGUAGCCGGGCUGAGAGGUUGAACGGCCACAUUGGGACUGAGACACGGCCCAAACUCCUACGGGAGGCAGCAGUAGGGAAUUUUCGGCAAUGGAGGAAACUCUGACCGAGCAACGCCGCGUGAACGAUGAAGUAUUUCGGUACGUAAAGUUCUUUUAUUAGGGAAGAAUAAAUGAUGGAAAAAUCAUUCUGACGGUACCUAAUGAAUAAGCCCCGGCUAACUAUGUGCCAGCAGCCGCGGUAAUACAUAGGGGGCAAGCGUUAUCCGGAAUUAUUGGGCGUAAAGGGUGCGUAGGCGGUUAAAUAAGUUUAUGGUCUAAGUGCAAUGCUUAACAUUGUGAUGCUAUAAAAACUGUUUANCUAGAGUAAGAUAGAGGCAAGUGGAAUUCCAUGUGUAGUGGUAAAAUGCGUAAAUAUAUGGAGGAACACCAGUAGCGAAGGCGGCUUGCUGGGUCUUUACUGACGCUGAGGCACGAAAGCGUGGGGAGCAAACAGGAUUAGAUACCCUGGUAGUCCACGCCGUAAACGAUGAGUACUAAAUGUUGGGUAAAACCAGUGUUGAAGUUAACACAUUAAGUACUCCGCCUGAGUAGUACGUACGCAAGUAUGAAACUUAAAGGAAUUGACGGGACUCCGCACAAGCGGUGGAUCAUGUUGUUUAAUUCGAAGGUACCCGAAAAACCUCACCAGGUCUUGACAUGCUUCUGCAAAGCUGUAGAAACACAGUGGAGGUUAUCAGUUGCACAGGUGGUGCAUGGUUGUCGUCAGCUCGUGUCGUGAGAUGUUGGGUUAAGUCCCGCAACGAGCGCAACCCUUAUUGUUAGUUGCCAGCACGUAAUGGUGGGGACUUUAGCAAGACUGCCAGUGAUAAAUUGGAGGAAGGUGGGGACGACGUCAAAUCAUCAUGCCCCUUAUGA